UUAAUUCCAGCUGCCAGGUGUGUUAUCGUUCUCCCUGUCUCGGAAUGGAACAAGCAACUACUCUUCAACCCACGAACGCGACAGGCCUAAUUAACGAGAGCUUCAACCUUGGAUAUCAGUGGUGUUGGAAGACUUCAGCGAUUGGCCCAGCAGAUAAUAAAGCUGUUCAGAUGUACUUCCUGGUGGACGACAAGGAAGAUGAAUCUGAAGACAAGAAUACCUACCAGAAUGGAGUUUUCUGAUUUAUUUCCAGAAAUGUCAUAGUUAUGAGGAAAAAAAAAAAAAAAAAGAUGUUCAAUUCUGAGUGUAAACAUAACUUGGUCCUAGAGAAAUUAAGCAUCAACUGAAAAUUGCAAGAAUAAGUUAUUGGGGAUAAGAAGAUUAUGGAGAAGUUAUUUGAUAAACAGGAGGGAAAUGUCAGAAAAACGUUAUUUAAAUUAUCAAAAAACUUUCCAUUGUGAGUUUCCAAUGAACAGACAAGGAGCUGUCUCUGCGGCACCAAGCCAAACACUUGGAAGAUUCCGCUGUGUACGAUGGAAUCAGACGGGAGGGGUCAUCCAUUGUCCUUCAAAACCUGCCAAAGCUGAAUCCACGACAAGCCCAAGCCCGAGGGAUCCUCUCCUUUUGUCUUCUAAUGUGACCGAAAACAAGGACUGUUUACAUACUACCCAUUCCUGUUGAGACAGGUGUUGUUGCGUAAACAUUGAACAUCUAAAUAAAAGAGAGGACGAAAACCUUCUUCGUCAGAGCGUGGUGCAGGACUGUACAGAAAGUACAGUGGCCAUGUCUCUCCUCAAUAUUGAAUCCAAAUUUAAUUCUGUCUCUGUUUGAUUCCUUGCCUUUUGUCUUGUUUAAUAGAUGUCAUCAGUGUUUGAAC